ACGGAAGGCAGCAGUGAGGAAUAUUGGACAAUGGGGGCAACCCUGAUCCAGCCAAACUGCGUGAGGGAUGAAGGUCCUACGGAUCGUAAACCUCUUUUAUGUGGGAAUAAUUGCAGGUAUGCAUACCUGCUUGAAGGUACCACUUGAAUAAGCAUCGGCUAACUCCGUGCCAGCAGCCGCGGUAAUACGGAGGAUGCAGGCGUUAUCCGGAUUUAUUAGGUUUAAAGGGUGCGCAGGCGGGACAUUAAGUCGGUGGUGAAAUACCGUGGCCCAACCACGGGGCUGCCAUCGAUACUGAUGCCCUUGAGUGCGUGUGACGUAGGCGGAAUAUGGAGUGUAGCGGUGAAAUGCUUAGAUAUUACACAGAACACCGAUUGCGAAGGCAGCCUACGAAUGCGUAACUGACGCUCAUGCACGAAAGCGCGGGUAGCGAACAGGAUUAGAUACCCUGGUA
rnacentral:rRNA from 1 species